rnacentral:rRNA from 1 species
AAUGCAUGCAAGUCGAGCGAGAAGCAGUUGUUCCGUAAGGUUCAGCUGUGGACAGCGGCGAACGGGUGCGUAACACGUGAGAAACCUGCCCCCCAGACCGGGAUAGCCCAGGGAAACUUGGAUUAAUACCGGAUACUCUCUUUGGACCGCAUGGUCCGUUGAGGAAAGGUCCGCUGCUGGGGGAUGGUCUCGCGGCCUAUCAGGUAGUUGGUGAGGUAACGGCUCACCAAGCCGAAGACGGGUAGCUGGUCUGAGAGGACGAUCAGCCACACUGGAACUGAGACACGGUCCAGACUUCUACGGGAGGCAGCAGCAGGGAAUAUUGCACAAUGGGCGAAAGCCUGAUGCAGCGACACCGCGUGCGGGAUGAAGGCCUUCGGGUUGUAAACCGCUUUCAGGAGGGGAAGAAAAUUGCGGGACCUCCAGAAGAAGCCCCGGCUAACUUCGGUCCAACAGCCGGGGUAAUACGAAGGGGGCAAUCGUUCUCCGGGAUCACUGGGGGUAAAGGGUGCGUAGGCGGCUUUUUAAGUCGGGGGGGAAACCUGUUGGCUCAACCACAGGAUGGGCCUUCGAUACUGGGGGCCUUUAGUUUGGNAAGGUGNGUGGAAUUCGAGGUGUAGCGGUGAAAUUCGCAGUGAUNNNGAGGAACACCGGGGGCGAAGGGGCAUCUCUGGGCCUGNAGUGCGGCUGAGGCGCGAAA